CGGGGGAGCAAGCGUUGUUCGGAUUUACUGGGCGUAAAGGGCGCGUAGGCGGCGCAACAAGUCACUUGUGAAAUCUCCGGGCUUAACCCGGAGCGGCCAAGUGAUACUGUCGUGCUAGAGUGCGGAAGGGGCUACUGGAAUUCUCGGUGUAGCGGUGAAAUGCGUAGAUAUCGAGAGGAACACCUGCGGCGAAGGCGGGUAGCUGGGCCGACACUGACGCUGAGGCGCGAAAGCCAGGGGAGCGAACGGGAUUAGAUACCCCGGUAGUCCUGGCCUUAAACGAUGGAUACUUGGUGUCCGGGGUUACAUAGUUCCCGGGUGCCGGCGCUAACGCAUUAAGUAUCCCGCCUGGGGAGUACGGUCGCAAGACUG
rnacentral:rRNA from 1 species